rnacentral:lncRNA from 1 species
AUGCUACUUACACAUUUUACAAUCUUUAUUUUGAUGUGUGGAUUUUAUUCCCGAUUUCAUGCUAUCGCACAUGCACAAAUUCAAACAGUUCAGACCCAAAAAGAAGGUUGGUUGAUUUUCUGUACAGCAACAAUAUUUUUAAAAUAUGAAACAGUAUACUAAAAAA